UACAGAGGGUGCAAGCGUUAAUCGGAAUUACUGGGCGUAAAGCGUGCGUAGUCGGUUAUCUAAGUCGGGUGUGAAAUCCCCGGGCUCAAUCUGGGAAUUGCAUUCGAUACUGGAUAGCUAGAGUUCGGCAGAGGGAAGCGGAAUUUCCGGUGUAGCGGUGAAAUGCGUAGAUAUCGGAAGGAACAUCAGUGGCGAAAGCGGCUUCCUGGACCAGAACUGACGAUCAGGCACGAAAGCGUGGGGAGCAAACAGG
rnacentral:rRNA from 1 species